rnacentral:rRNA from 1 species
UACGUAGAAGACUAGUGUUAGUCAUCUUUAUUAGGUUUAAAGGGUACCUAGACGGUAAAUUAAACUCUAAAUGAGUACUUUUUUUACUAGAGUUUUAUGUGAGAAGGAAGAAUUUCUGGAGUAGUGAUGAAAUACCUUGAUACCAGAAGGACUGGUAACGGCGAAGGCAUCCUUCUAUGUAAAAACUGACGUUGAGGGACGAAGGCUUGGGUAGCAAUAAGG